CCUACGGGUGGCAGCAGUGGGGAAUAUUGCACAAUGGGCGAAAGCCUGAUGCAGCAACGCCGCGUGAAGGAAGAAGGCCUUCGGGUCGUAAACUUCUGUCCUUGGGGAAGAAGAACGGACGGUACCCAAGGAGGAAGCCCCGGCUAACUACGUGACAGCAGCCGCGGUAAUACGUAGGGGGCAGGGGUUAUCCGGAAUAAUUGGGCGAAAAGAGUACGUUGGUGGCAACCUAAGCGCAGGGUUUAAGGCAAUGGCUCAACCAUUGUUCGCACUGCGAACUGGGAUGCUUGAGUGCAGGAGAGGAAAGCGGAAUUCCUGGUGUAGCGGUGAAAUGCGUAGAUAUUACGAGGAACACCAAUGGCGAAGGCGGCUUUCUGGACUGUAACUGACACUGAGGUACGAAAGCGUGGGGAGCAAACAGGAUUAGAUACCCGAGUAGUC
rnacentral:rRNA from 1 species